rnacentral:rRNA from 1 species
UACGGAGGAGGCAAGCGUUAUCCGGAAUUAUUGGGCGUAAAGCGCUCGCAGGUGGUUCGUUGCGUCGUGCGUGAAAGACCCCGGCUCAACUGGGGAGGGUCGUGCGAUACGGGCGAACUGGAGGCCAGUAGGGGGAUGCGGAAUUCCGGGUGUAGUGGUGGAAUGCGUAGAGAUCCGGAGGAACACCAGCGGCGAAGGCGGCAUCCUGGACUGGUCCUGACACUCAGGAGCGAAAGCGUGGGGAGCGAUCCGG